UGGGGGAUAUUGCACAAUGGGCGAAAGCCUGAUGCAGCGACGCCGCGUGGGGGAUGAAGGCUUUCGGGUUGUAAACCUCUUUCGCUAUCGAACAAGGCCCGCUUAGGGUGGGUUGAGGGUAGGUGGAGAAGAAGCGCCGGCUAACUCCGUGCCAGCAGCCGCGGUAAUACGGAGGGUGCAAGCGUUAAUCGGAAUUACUGGGCGUAAAGCGCACGCAGGCGGUUGAUUGAGUCAGAUGUGAAAUCCCCGGGCUUAACCCGGGAAUUGCAUCUGAUACUGGUCAGCUAGAGUCUUGUAGAGGGGGGUAGAAUUCCAUGUGUAGCGGUGAAAUGCGUAGAGAUGUGGAGGAAUACCGGUGGCGAAGGCGGCCCCCUGGACAAAGACUGACGCUCAGGUGCGAAAGCGGGGGGAGCAAACAGG
rnacentral:rRNA from 1 species